GGAUUCAAACCUAAAUUUUUGUUAGCUGCUUAAGUAUUUGCAUCUUGUUCUUGUAACUUUGAAUGUUAAAAGAUAGAUUGUUGUUGUUAUACAUGAUUUCCAAAUUGAGUCAUCAUUUAUGUGUUUUAAUCUAUGAAAGUGGUGGACUAUGUUUUCUCCAAUGUUGAUUCGUUAACGUUGAUUGCCUUACCGAAACUGAAGGUGCUCGCUUGUAUUGCAUUACCGGCACUAGUGAGAGCGUCUGUAGUCUAACUCUAAUUCAAUCGAUCUUUCUUGCUUAUGCAGCGACAUUCCCAUGGCCCAGUUCAUCAUUAACAUGAAUGCAGGUAUGCCUCGGUCGCAGAAGUUUAUAUUACAUGUAUUGGAUAACACUCAUCUUUUUGAAGGAUGAGUGUUAAUGAUGCCUAUUGGAAAACCUAGAGUGCCUUACAGAAACCCUGUUGAAGGAACGUGGCAGUGGGUUGGUUUGCUUGAAAGUAUGUGGCUACACAUGUCCAGUAAAUUUGUAUGAAUUACUUGUUUUUUGAAUAACUUGAUAAAAUACAGUAUGAGAGUUCAUCAUAGCUCUACCAUAUUUCCUAUGUUUUAAUCAAAGAUUAGUGCUAUGCUAUCAAGCAUGUCAUCUGUUGCCCCUUAGUUAUUCCUGAAACAAUUGAUUAUUUGAUGUGCAAAGAAGAUGAGUUAUUUCUUGUCCGCUCCCUGCAUUAUAAAAAUAUUAGCUAAGUUUGUUUUUGUUGUUAAAUGGUUCCUUCUUCGAAACGCGUCUGACAGAAGUUAAUAGUUACAGUACUGUGAGCAUGUUAAUUUUAUUGGGGAAAAACAUAGACAAAUAGUUGAGCAAUCAGAUACUUGCUACAAUCUUGUACCUUGGCUGUAUUGAGGAUUCAAAGAGGCUCUAUAUGUACAUUAAUGGAGAUGUGAGUUCUUCAUUCACAACUUGGUACAUACAUAUUUGCUUUUAUUUAUGUACGUAGUAAUUUAUUUUUUUUCCUCCUUUUAUAUUUUUAAAAUCUUUUGAUAACUAUACAUCUCUGUUGCAGCUCACUCUUAGCAUGGCUAUCUAUGAUAUGAUGCAGAGUUUGAAAAGUCGUGUUGGAACUCGCUGUGUGGGAUAAGCUUAUAAUUUGGCAGCUUCUCUCUAUCAUGUGACAAUUGAUAGAGAUGCAUGCAGUGAUCUCAUUUACAAUUUUGCCAUGCCGCUGUCAAGAUUUUCAUAACAAUGGAGCUGUCAAGUGUGCAAAGAUCACGUUUUAAGGCAUUGGUGCCCCUAUUGAUAUAUGUGCACUGAAUGUUCGACAGGACCUAAGUCCUUCAACACUCAGGACCUCUUCAAUAUGGUCUCACUGAUCGGAUAGUUUGGUCACCAAAGUCGACUCUUUCUGUGUAUGUUAAUUGUGAGCUUAUUUUAUUGAUUUUUUUCCAUAAUUACAUAGCAAUAUCAUAUGUUAGAACUUUGAACGGAUCCUUUAAUUUGAGAGUCAAUUUUAUUA